CUUUUUUCAUAUGAAUCUAUAUUGCAAAGCAGAGGGAACUCUGCCUCGCCUGCACAACAGGCUGCUUCCAGAUGGGUGACUUGUGUAACACUGUAUGAGACACUAAGCUGAGGUUCCAGGCUUGCAGAGGAAAUACAAGAAUAAACCGAGACCAAGAGAGGAGAGGAAGUGUGAGGGUAGCUGAGAACAUCCGCUCUAUUGCUGAGAUCCUCAGCCCUUUGUUGCUUCCUGACUCUUACAGCUGACAGGGGCAGAAGAUGGGGAAAUGCGACAGACUCCAUCAAAGUCACACACUGCUAAUUGCUUAAGCAAGUUCUCUCUUUCUCGUUGAUAACAGCACAAGAAUAGUGCAAGUCUUCUACAGUAUGAGCCAGAGCCAUUGCUCACACCAGCUGAGCAGGAGCUGAGUCCAUCCACCAUCUUGGCAGGACUGGGGGGGUGAAGAACAUGGAACAUAAAAUGAAUGAAAGUGACACACAUCAACAGUGUAAGACUGCCUGUUUAUUUGCUCUCUCAUGUAGAGACCUCAAGGUGGAAGCUGGUGCACAGGAAGAGUUCGGCCACUGCACUGCAGCCUGGGUGCUGCUGCUCCUGUGUGGAGAAACUGGCAAGGAGUUGAUGUCACCACCUAGAGGCCUCGCAGUGGGAACACUUCCAAUAUUGGGCUGUCCUCUCGGUGUUGGAGCAUGGCCAGUUGUCCCUGUUAAAAAAAAAAAAAAGUGUCUUUUUAUAGUAGCGUUGGUGUCAUUUCUAAAGGUUUUCCUGACAAGCUGUUAAUUGAGUUAAAGAAGGGGAAAUGAGAAUUACCUUUUAUUUGUCUAGUUUUAAAAGUGUAGAAUGUCAGCCAGACAGUCACUGAUUGAAGAAGGGAAAGACUUUCAGGUAUACAUUUCUGGAUAAUGUUUAUUUCAAUGCUGCUGCUGAAAAUGAAUUAGCAAUAAGAAAUGUGAAUUUCAGAGCGGGUCAAAUUAUUAAGAAGGAGGGUAUUUAAUAAGACACAUAUUAAUUAGCUUUAGUUUCUGCAGUCUCCUCUGCUUGAAAAUACCAUCUUGAAAAGAGCUGCUUUAGAAUGACUCUAUAGUUUUACUUCUGUGCACUCUUCUGUGGGCUUGUAUUAUAAACAUAAGAGGAUGCAACAAGAGAUGAAAAGUCAGUGGCUGGACUUCCCGCUGUGGCUACUUCAGCAAAGCAAAAUGAACAUAGUAAUCUGCAUUAAUUUUUGAUGUGUUAGCUUACUCCUCUCAAGACAGUUUAAAUAAUACAAUUAGCUGUUGUGAUUACGUUAUAAUGUUAUUAAAAGGUUGAUUAAACAUAGACUGUUAUCAGACUUUAGAACAGGCACUGUUUACUUUAAGUUACAGGAUUGUCUGUGAAGUAUAGAGGUUGCCUGCCUUUCUCUAGGACUAAAGGUUCUCUAAGGAAAAAUGUAAGAAUUGAGGUUACAAUACACUGUCAAUCCUCACCCUCUCUGACAGCAUGAGAAAUGUUUCAUUACUGUGGUAGAGAUAGUAGCCUUAGAUUUCAACAAGUGUAUUCAGCUGCAGGAUGAUCCUCUCAUCCCACUCAGGUGAACCUGCCUUACAGCGCUGUGCCCUACACCCAAAUUCUGCUUUUUUUUUUUUUUUUGCCAGGAUUUCAGGAACAGCUGCUGUAAUAUGGGUUCUUUUUAUCUAAAACAUAGCAGAGGCAUAUAUUAACACCAAAGUCCCUAAGUGGUAGAAAGAGUAUUAACAAAUUGACUCAAAUAGUUUUAAGACAUUCUGCCACAUCACUUUAA
ensembl:lncRNA